rnacentral:tRNA from 1 species
UCCGCGAUAGCAUAGUGGUAAGUAUCUCCGCCUGUCAUAUGGAAGAUCCGGUUUCAAUUUCCGGUCGCGGUG